UAAAAAAUUUUGGCGGUAUUUUAAGCUUAUUAGAGGAAUUUGCUCUGUGAUGGACACAACGCCUUAAUCUUACUUAAUUUAGUAAUUUAAAUCAGUUUGUAUACCACUAUAUUAAUUAUAUUGAAUAGUUAUAUUUAAAAUUUUUUCAAAAAAAAUAUAUUAAGUCAUGGUGCAUCUAAUAAUUAUGAAUGAAGUGAAUUACAUUAAUUUUAAUGUAAUUUUUUACAUGAAAAAAUUAAUUAGGAUUUAAUAGUAAAAUACUAAUAUUAUGAGUAUUUGAAUCAAGCUCUAAAAUAUGCACAUAUCGCCCGUCGCUCUCAGAAGUGAGAUAAGUCGUAACAAAGUAAAAAUACUGGAAAGUGUUUUUUAAAAUGAAAUCAUUUGAUGUUUCAUUUACAAUGAAAAUUUUGUUGUUUAACCAUUUUAA
rnacentral:rRNA from 1 species